GGCAGCCGCGCCCCCCCCCGGGAAGGGACCCGCGGCAGCGACGGCGCACGCCCGGCCCCGGGGUCCCAGCCCGGGAUUCACCCCGCGGGACGGGACCGCCGGGCCGUGGGACAACGCCGUGCGUGCCGCGCAGAGCGCCGGGAAGGGCUGGGGACACGUGUGAAAUGUCACGGCAAACGGCCGUCUCGGUCUCCUCCACUGCACUGCACAAUGUCUUGAGUUGGAAGGGACACACACGGAUUAUCAAAGUCCAACUCCUGGCCCUGCACAGGACCCCCUCCAAAAUUCCACCCUGUGCCCGAGAGCGUUGUCCAAAUGCUCGUUGAGCCCUGGCAGCCUUGGGGCCGUGACCACUUGAACAUGGAAUGGGGCCACCCAAAAGGCAUUUCAUCCCUUUUGAUAAACCUGAAUUGCUUUUGUUCCUUUCUCAUCUGCUAAGUGGUGGUGAGCCACCCGAAGAGCUCAAGCCACACCUGCACAGAGCACAAGCAGCAGCCUGGUCACAAGCAGAGCUCCACUACAAAAGGCAGCCCGGAGCAUCGCCAUCCUCAUUUUGCUAAGUGAGAAGCCAAGACGCACAAAACGCACCCACAAAGGGCUUUACGUUAAACCUCUCGAGUUUCCAGAAUCGGCAUCCAGAGCUGUGGUCUCGUAUGAAGAGUUAAACCCUGCCAGCCCUUCCCAAAAGGAACAUGAAUGUUCCACAGGAAUGCCAGAGCCUACACAAAGGUAGUGUUCCUCCAGGUGAGGCAGCUGUGCCUCCUACAAACACGCUGAAUUCGUGCCGUAACGGCGGCAGCAAAGGGACUUUGGAACUCGCGAGCAAGUACAAAGCAUUCACUCCAUCAGUUCCUCUCCAGGGAAACACUCGGUGCAGCAGCGCCAGUACAGACAGACUGCAGGAUGUUUCCAUUCAGAGCAGCAAGAACGGAUCUGUUCCCACCUCCGUGAAGGGAAUGCGCAUUACAAGCACUCCGAACAGCAGCCUAUUUCCAAAUCCCCUCAAACAAAAAAGUAACAUGGAAGUUGUGCAUCCUUUGGUAUAAUAUCUGCACAAGGAACGCAAUCAGCAGUGCUGAACCCCUAGGGCGGGCUGAUCACUGCAUUUAACGGGAGUUUUCUGCCAGGUUCCUCAAACAGAUGUACACAGACAUAAGAAAAUGAAACAUGUUCCCCUGGCACUACAUCACUUUUUCCCUAAUGGUAUAUUCUAGGAAGAAGCAUUUGGACCAAGUAUCUGCUAUUGCUGUGCCAUACAGUUAUUCUUUCAUUUAAAAAAUAUUCAGAAGAAAAUACUUAAAUUCGAUUUCAAUUCACUUUCUUGUUGAUGUUUUUGUGGUUUUUUUAAAGUCAUUAUAAGGAUGAGUGAUCCAAACUGAGAUUUUUUUAAAACUAUUUUUGUUUCACAUUUCCCAAUCUGAAAAAGACAAGAAGGGGCCAAGGAAUUCCUAGAGAAAUAUCAAGCAUGAAUUUUAUCACAGGAGGAGUCAAGAGAGCUUCCAAGAGGUCGUUUGGGUGUACUGCUCAUCGUGAGGGCUGCUAGGAAUAAUGUAUGUUUCAUUUGUGAACAAGUGCAACAGCCACUCACAGUAGAGGCCUAGGCAGGAAGUGCCCAGAACACCUGAGUAAUCUGGGGUUUAGAUAAAUACUCACUUUAUGAGCAGAUGGUCUUUAACAGAGAUCUUGGUCCUCCCCAGGGCUGCACAUAUUCCUGAGGCAAAGCACUUGGGGAAACUAAUGGACAACACGAGCAGUCAGAGGUACAUCACUGCAGCAAAGCAGUGAAAAGAUCAAAACUGUACAUGGAAACCAGGAAAUACAUAAGGACAGGGUAAAAAAAGAGGAUCAACUGGGAGAAGUCACACAGAAAAUACAUGGGUUUGCAGUUCAUUGCAACAGCUGGAACUGGAGGCACAGAUUUAGGUCAGUGUGGAAUUCUCUGCUGCACCACAUGUUGCACCUCUCUCAUUUUCUCGCUGGAGCUGCUGGACUUUGCUAAAUGAAGCUUCUGGAGGGCAGAAGGACCGGUGACAUCGUGCCAGAGACUCACUCCCUCCUUUCCAAGUGACGAGGGUGGCCUCAAGCCUGUCCCAAGGCCUGCUGCUGGAGCAGCUCCCUCACCACCAGCUCCUGACCAGCGCUGACUCCAGAGGCUGGAGACUUGCCCAGCCUCUGGUGGAUUGUGGAGAUCCACGGUGGAGCUGCUGCACCUGCCCCAGGGCUUGUUUCUGCCCCUGGAGAAGCUCUCUCGGGCCGCUGUCCCACCACGUGCGCAUCAGCGCUCACAGAAGUAGAUCCUUGAAGGUUCCCCAAAGGAAAGGAAUUAUUUAUCCAUGACUGACGCUCCUGGCAAGCACCUUGCUGCCCGAGCAGGGCAGUGUGUGUGCUCUCUCUGCCUCUGCUGCUGGAGCACUCUUAGGUGGCAUUAAUUUACUCCUCAGUGAACCAGAAAGAUGUUGGCAGAAUAACUGAUUUGAUAGCUCAGUGAUUCUGUCACGCUCUUGCUAUGCAGGAGACCAAAGGUUCUCUCUGGCCUAAAAAAGCAUCACUCCUGACAGGCUGGGAGGCACUGCUGGCCACUUAGCUCCUGCCUCUGGAAGCACCACAGGGAGAAAGUAAUGAAAAAUUAAUGCCUUAUUUUUUAUCUUUUUGUGCGGGGCAAGGGCAAAAACACAGGCUUGAGCGAAACAGAUGUUUUCAUUUGUUUGCACUGGAAAGAAACAAGGAAUGCUCUGCUAGGAUUAAAGCUUCAUCUCAGAAUUUUAAAGAAUACA